rnacentral:lncRNA from 1 species
CCUUAGCCAUAGGGCCCGAUCCCCUCAAGCCAGGAAUUGGGCCUCAUAGACCUCCCGAACCUAAAUCUACUAGGAUCCCUUCACUUUCCCAUACUCCUCAAGUUUCACCUUCGUUUACUUCCCCAAUCCAGAGUGAAGUCAACCCCUCCCCCUGGGGGCUAAUUGAAGGAGCCUUUGCAGUACUGAACUCCAUGAACCAGACCUCACUCAGUCUUGUUGGCUCUGUCUCUCCGCUGCUCCUCCUUACUAUGAAGGGAUAGCAAUUGACGGGACUUAUGCAGUAAAAGUGCAGAGUUCCUCCUGUAAUUGGGGUGGAAAUCCUAAGUUAACCCUCCCAGAAGUAACCAGGACAGGCUUAUGUAUAGGGUCCCCACCUAAAAGUAAACAACACUUAUGUACCCAGAUAAAAAAAAUUAGCACCACACAGGGUUUCCUUACCCCUGAAAAUGGAACCUGGUGGGCAUGUGACUCAGGGUUAACUCCUUGCAUUUCAGCCCAGGUAUUUAACAGCUCUGUAAAUUAUUGUGUAAUGGUGCAGAUGUUUCCCAGAGUGCUCUAUUAUGACGCACGUUCGUUUGAAGAUCAAAUAGGGGGGCAUACAACCCGGUUCCGCCGGGAACCUGUAUCCCUCACUUUAGCCAUCCUAUUAGGAAUAGGAGUUGCUGCAGGGGUGGGCACAGGGACCACUGCCCUGGUCCAUGGGACACAACAAAUGACCCAAUUAGAAGCAGCAAUAGACCAAAACUUAAAGAUAUUAGAAACCUCCAUCACAGCUUUGCAGGAAUCUUUAACCUCUCUCUCUGAAGUUGUUUUACAGAACAGGCGAGGGUUGGACCUCCUCUUCAUGAGAGAAGGGGGCCUUUGUGCUGCAUUGAGGGAAGAAUGUUGUUUUUAUGCCUACCAUACUGGAGUUGUAAAAGAAUCUAUGAGUAAAUUAAGAAGACGCCUUGAAGAGCGUCAGCGAGAGAGAGAGGCCCAAAAAGGGUGGUUUGAGUCUUGGUUCACACAGUCCCCCUGGUUAACUACGCUUUUAUCAGCUCUGGCCGGUCCAUUAAUAAUCCUCAUAUUAUUGCUAACUGUAGGACCCUGUUUGCUCAACCGUGUAAUUUCCUUUCUCCAAGCUCAAAUUGGACAAGUUAAACUUAUGGUAAUCAGACAACAAUAUGCCUCACUGGCAGAAAUAGAAUGUGAUACCCCUCAAUAAUUAUGAUUUCUUACUUUUAAGAUUAAAAGUAGUCAGAAAAAGAAGUGGGGAAUGAAAAGGUUAAGAAUGUAAGAAUUAAGUUCUGUUUUCCUGGAACCUGAAACUCAUGUAGAAGUUGAAAACAACUCCCGGAAAUGCCCAUUGAUCAUCUGGUUGCUCUACGAAAACAACCCCCUCCCAGAAACCGUGCAAUGAUUGGCUAUGCUGUAUGUGAUGUCCCUGCCCUCUCCAAGGAAAGUAUAUAAGCUCUGCUUAAGCUGUUCCCGGGGCUCUCUCUCUCUCUGCUCUAUUCAAGUGAGCUCUGAGCCCCAGCAUGCUGGACCCCCAAUAAACCCUUUGCUGUUGCAUGAGACAGGCUCUUG